AAAAAAGAGAUGGCCCAGGCACGAAGGACAUUUGCACAGACAAUACUUGAGGCCUCAGUAUUUGACAGUGACACCAACUGUGCCAUGUGUGCAACAGCGAAACCACCCAAUCCAGGACCCUCCAUCACUGACUGGAUUCAGUGUGAUAACUGCAACUGCUGGUUCCAUUCUGAAUGCCUGGACAUGACAAACGAACAGCUCAGCAGUGCUCAGAAGACAGAGUGGAAGUGUGUGCUUUGUGUAACCUAAUUCCACAUGCAGUGAAAGCUACUAGAAUAAUCUGCUUAUAGUUAUUAUUGGUGUUUUGAGGAACACAUGUGUAAAACACAAUAUGUAUAACAUUCUUGCUUUGAGCACGUAUUUUAAGUAUUUCCUUUU